rnacentral:ncRNA from 1 species
AUCCACGAGCUUUUUAGAUCGUGCUGGCCACUGCUGCUGCUGCAGCUGCUGCAGCUGCUGCAGCUGCUGCAGCUGCUGCAGCUGCUGCAGCUGCUGCAGCUGCUGCAGCUGCAGCUGCCGCUGCAGCUGCAGCUGCAGGAGCUGCCACUGCUGCCGCUACUUCUGCAGCAGCAGCAGCUGCUGCAGAAGUAGCAGCAGCUGCUGCUGCAACAGCUGCUGCUGCUGCUGCAGCUGCUGCUGCUGCUGCUGCUGCUGCUGCUGCUGUUUGCGAAGCUUGCUCACCCG